GAAACAGGCCGGAGAUGAUCGCUGGUUCCUUCGGGGGCCAGAGGAAAGUCCGGACACCGCACGACAGCAUGCCCGGUGAAAGCCGGGGCACCCGACUGAAAUGGCCGGGUGACGGAAAGUGUCGCAGAAAAUAAACCGCCCGUCCCGCUUCGGCAGGUUGGGUAAGGGUGAAAAGGCGAGGUAAAAGCUCACCGCUCCAAGGGUAACCAGGGAGGCAGGAUAAACCCCAUGUGGUGCAAGACAGAACAGAGCAAACGGGCAGUCGGUCCGGUCCCGCUUGCGGGAUACGCUUGGGUAAUAGUCGCUCCAUGCUUCGGCAGGGGCCGGGUGAUCCUCCGGGUGACCCCGGUCAGAUAAAUGAUCGUCCGCCGGCGCUGAUUACAGCCCGGUGAACAGAAUCCGGCUUACGAAGGCCUGUUUCACUU
rnacentral:RNase_P_RNA from 1 species